CUCGAGCCCAUCGAAAGCAGGUGGCAAUGCCCAGCUUGUGCACGAGCCCUCAUCUGAGCAGAAAAAACAGAUUUUUUUCUGGCAGGUGGUCCAAGACUGACCUCAGCAGGUGCCUCGUUGUGUUUGAAGAGACAGCAGCAGAAAGCCGUGCAUGAAGAAGGGCUGGACAACCCCUGGGACAAGCAGGAAGGAAGGACAGAGAGGUUUUGGGGAGAGAUGCCUUGUGAUUGCCAGCACAAAGGGGAUAAUGAGAAGAUUAGAUCCAUAAUGUUAUUGCUGCCUGGGUGACACAUGGCCUGUGGAGCCUUCCUCACUGCAGCUGGGAUUUCGUGGGGCCCCGACGAGGCUGGGCUAGGAGGGCACGUUGUUGGCUAAGGUGCAGAUGAAAUGAGGCAGAAGAAGGCGUUAGUAGCACCCUGGGAAGAUUCCUGUUUGACCUUCCUGUCUCUUCUUGGAGGUUCACCCUCCGGCUUAGAGGAGAGGGCUGGUUCCCUCCGGCUUUUUCCCGAGCCGUGUUACGGAGGGCCAGGCUACCUGUGCACACCCCCUUCAGGAGGUCUCUGGGUGAGGCCUACGCUGCCCAAAAUUUCAGCCCCCAGCAGAUCCAGUCGUGACAGAAGAUGUGGUGGGGCCCCAAUGCUGCCAGCAGAAAUAGGCUUUGGUCCUCUCAGCAAGUAUCAGCUGGAGAGAGAGCAUAAAAAUGGCCUACCUGGAUCAUCCGUCCUCAUACCUUGCCUCUGCCAGGCAAGACCUCCUCAUCCUCCUGAACCUGGCCAAACUGACUGCACAGGGCUCGCCCGAGGAUGUCCCACCUUCUCCGUGUCGUCGUCCUUGCAUCCACACACUGCAAUCUUCACGGGGACCAGAGGCUGGAGGUGGUACUGAGUGCACCCAGGACACUCAGACCUGGGCAGGUUCAUCGCCAGGAGCUUCCCUGGAGCAACGGGACUGGGACGAUGUGGGAGCCGGUGCAUGGGACGGCUGGCGAUGCGCAUUUCCGCUUGGGUCUGUCUGGCUUGCAUUUCCCCAGCCACCCUGCAUGGCUCAUGCUGAGAGUCCACUGUUUGCAAGCUGCGGGGACACAAACAGCACAGGUGGACUCGGUGCAUGCAAAAAAAACUCUCUGUCACCUUGGGAAGUGGGUGCCAGGGCAAGAUUGGGUCCCCUGGCCUUGCUGGGGGCUGGAUGGUUUUACUUCUUCGUAAAGACGCCCUCUCCUAGAUUUGCUUCUUAGCAGAGAAGGAACAAGCUGCUCUGUUCCUGUCACCUCUCUGUCUUUGCAUGCUGAGCGCUGGCCGAACGAGCGGAGCAGAUCUCCCUCCUGGAUAGUCAGCAAAACCUCACGGCUUUCUUACUUUGCAGUUGCGCGGGUGAUCAGCCGUGGUGUGGGCUCUCGAGGCGGGUGGCUCAGGCAGAAAAGGGGAAUUCGGGCAAUCUGAGAUUGCAUCUGCACUGGGAAAUAAAUCGGGCUGAUAUAUCA
rnacentral:lncRNA from 1 species